UCCCUGGUGGUCCAGUGGUUAGGACUCUGAGCUUCCAAUGCCAGGGGACCCGGGUUCGAUGCCUGGUCAGGGAA